AACCCAUUUGGAAACCCAAUCCCUACCCAUUUUCUUCUACCCAUUCUCUAAAUUGCGAAGAGGAGAAGAAGUCCAGUGGAGAAAGAGGCUACUAAAAUCAGAGGAGCAAGAGGCCGUGGGCAAGAAAUAAUUACAGUGAAGAUGAAGAUGAAGAUGAGUCGCAUAUAUAGCUACAACCAGCAUAUAUAGCUACAACCACUUGAUCGAGGAUGAUGGAUUGAUGGAUAAGGAUAUAUACCCGUCGGAUGCGGCAGCCGAACGACUAGCUGAGGAGGAAGUUGAGAGAGAGGUAGAAGGAAGGAGCCAGGUGGUACAAGAAAGUCAAACAAACGGAUUAUCCAGGAAUAGAUGAACCGUUUUCUAGAAGGAUAAAUGGAGGAAUCAAACGAAGGAUGAGUGCACGUUAGUGCCCUAAACAAGGAUUAAACUCUCUAAUUACGCAUAAAGGUAAUAAAAUCUUUUUCUACAUUUCAAUAAAAUUUUCAGUUGUAUUGAUCCACCGACUAAUUGCUCCCGUGGUCAUAAAACCAUCGGAAGACAACCACCACAAUACACCUUGUACUCACCCGUAACAUAUAUAUGAUGUCCAAUGGCCUAAUGGGGACUGGGAGGAUCAAAACCUGACUAAGAAUACCAUUAUGUCGACCCAUGCAUCUCUUUUAUUGAUUCCUUAUGGUUAUGUCAGUUAGUUGUAUAACUACUUUUUGAAGUUGUCAGUAUCACAGUAUGCGGACAUGUUCUCCCCUUUUAUUA